GAGGGUACAGCUCAGUGGUAGAGUGUAUGCUUAGCAAGCAUGAGGUCCUGGGUUCAAUCCCAGGUACCUCCA
rnacentral:tRNA from 1 species